UACGUAGGGGGCUAGCGUUGUCCGGAAUCAUUGGGCGUAAAGAGCGUGUAGGCGGCCCGGUAAGUCCGCUGUAAAAGUCAAAGGCUCAACCUUUGAAUGUCAGUGGAUACUGCCGGGCUAGAGUCCGGAAGAGGCGAGUGGAACUCCUGGUGUAGCGGUGGAAUGCGUAGAGAUCGGGAAGAACAUCGGUGGCGAAGGCGGUCUGCUGGGCCGUUGCUGACGCUGAGGCGCGACAGCGUGGGGAGCAAACAGG
rnacentral:rRNA from 1 species